rnacentral:rRNA from 1 species
GUGAACGCUGGCGGUAGGCCUAACACAUGCCAGUCGAACGGCAGCACAGUAAGAGCUUGCUCUUACGGGUGGCGAGUGGCGGACGGGUGAGGAAUACAUCGGAAUCUACUUUUUCGUGGGGGAUAACGUAGGGAAACUUACGCUAAUACCGCAUACGACCUACGGGUGAAAGCAGGGGAUCUUCGGACCUUGCGCGAUUGAAUGAGCCGAUGUCGGAUUAGCUAGUUGGCGGGGUAAAGGCCCACCAAGGCGACGAUCCGUAGCUGGUCUGAGAGGAUGAUCAGCCACACUGGAACUGAGACACGGUCCAGACUCCUACGGGAGGCAGCAGUGGGGAAUAUUGGACAAUGGGCGCAAGCCUGAUCCAGCCAUACCGCGUGGGUGAAGAAGGCCUUCGGGUUGUAAAGCCCUUUUGUUGGGAAAGAAAAGCAGCAGGUUAAUACCCCGCUGUUCUGACGGUACCCAAGGAAUAAGCACCGGCUAACUUCGUG